CCUACGGGUGGCUGCAGUGGGGAAUUUUGGACAAUGGGCGCAAGUCUGAUCCAGCCAUGCCGCGUGCAGGAUGAAGGCCCUCGGGUUGUAAACUGCUUUUGUACGGAACGAAAAGCCUCUCUCGAAUAAAGAGGGGUGAUGACGGUACCGUAAGAAUAAGCACCGGCUAACUACGUGCCAGCAGCCGCGGUAAUACGUAGGGUGCGAGCGGUAAUCGGAAUUACUGGGCGGAUCUCGCACGCAGGCGGUCAAGUCCCCGGGCUCAACCUGGGAACGGCCAUUGUGACUGCAAGGCUGGAGUACGGCAGAGGGGGAUGGAAUUCCGCGUGUAGCAGUGAAAUGCGUAGAUAUGCGGAGGAACACCGAUGGCGAAGGCAGUCCCCUGGGCCUGUACUGACGCUCAUGCACGAAAGCGUGGGGAGCAAACAGGAUUAGAUACCCCGGUAGUC
rnacentral:rRNA from 1 species